GUGCUUCUAUACUCUUGACUGGUCCUGAAUCUCCUGUUGCUAAGGCAACAGUUCUCUCAGUUGAUCCAGACACACUUGUGGGUGGGGAGCCCCUUGGGCCUGCGACUUAUGAGGUAAUUGUGAAUGCUGCGAUUAAAAGGGGUGCUACGCUGCCAUAUCAGUAUGAUGAUUUAAGAUACAUCGGUGAUGCUGUCACAAGGUCCAUUGCAUGGCCAUCUAGCAAGAUGAAGCCCUACAAACCAGCAGCGUCUGGCUCAUCUCGUCGCUGAGGUAUUUCGGUUGAAAAUCAGUUUCGAGGAGAGAAACUGAAGAUGAUAUGUCCCAUUCAAAUAUGAAUUAUCAUGCAAAAUGGUUGCCGCAAACCACCAAGUAGCUGGAUGUUUCCCAUCAACAAGAUGAGUUGUGUAAUGGAGUAAAUUUGGUCUCAUAGGCUACCUUUCUGUUAUCAUUUUGUAAGACUGGUUAUAUGGUAAUCAUUUGGCUUCCAUUUUGUAA